ensembl:snRNA U6 U6 spliceosomal RNA
GUACUCACUUUGGCAGCACAUAUACUAAAAUUGGAAUGAUACUGAGAAGUUUAGCAUGGCCCCUGAUCAAGGAUGACAUGUAAAUUCAUGAAGCAUUCCAUGUUUUG